AGUGUAUAAAGAGUAAAAAGAUCUGGUGAUAUGAUUUUGAUAAAUCUCAUUUGGUUUUCUUCAUAUUUUGAAUUUUUUCUGUUGAAUCUUUUACAUGCAGGUUAGUAAUUUGUAUAUCUUUUGUUGGUAGUCUUCAAAAGUGGAAUGAAGACACAAUUCCUCUGCAAUUUCUUCUUCUCCAGCCUUCGUUCCCCAUCUAACACCACUGAAGCUAACUCUCAGAGGCCUUUUGCUUCCCUCAAAUCCUCUUUUCCAACCUGGGAAUCUGAUAUCAUGGCACUAAGAGGCAACAUCAAUCAAAUAACAACCAAUACACCAGAUUGGAUAUGUAAGGUCCAAAUUGUCGACAUAAGUCGAGAACGAGAGAGUCCCGAAAAAAAAGUUAGAUUUCAAAAUCUGAUUUUCCAAGAUGAAGAGGUAAUUAUCUCUACUGCAACAACAUAUAUUCAACUUUCUAUCAUUAUCAUUUUACUGCAUUUGUAACAAAAAUUGAAACUUUACAAGAGCAACAAAUUCGGGGAGUCGUGUAUGGCGAUGCCAUUCCAUAUUAUGCUGACAAGCUUAAACUCUUUCAGACAUAUCUAAUCUCCACUGCAAAGGUUAAAGUUUCAUCAACUUUAUAUGGUCCACCAAUAUAUAAAUUUUAUUGGGUGCUUGAUCGCGAGACUAUAGUGGAACAUAUUGAGCCAAAUAAUGAGAGUGAGAAACAUGAUGAGCACAAAUUACUUGGAAAAUCAAACGAAAAGUCCCAUUACAUGUUUGUUAGCUACCAUUAUUGGCAAAACACUCUUAAGUCCCACUUCUUUGAAAGAGCGUCGGUUUUUUCCUUUGAUUAUGAAAGGGCUUGGCAUUGCAUUUUUAAUUUUUCCUUAGUGACUGACUGC